rnacentral:misc_RNA from 1 species
GCGAGUAUAACUCUCUAAAACCAUUGUGAACGAACGAACCCGUUGCUUCGGCGAACGGCUCUGCUGCCGCCGGAAGAACGCAACUCUUGUUAUUAUUGUUCUCUGAGUACUUAUUCAAUAAGUCA